AGACGGGUAGCAAUGGCGGGGCCUGCCGCUGGCGUGAGGCGAGGCCGCGGGAGCUCGACCGCGGGGCCUGGGCCUGAAAUCACUUAAUAAAAUGGAUGGCAAAACCCAAGCAGUAAGGAAGAUAUCUUUUCUUUACAGGGUUGCUCAGGAGUCUGCUUCUAAUGCUGCAAAGGUGUGGUGCUGUGACAUGGCAAGUGAGGUAUGUUCUACGUGUGACUGCAGCUAGUCAUGUAGAGUGACCUAUGCUCUAAUCUCCCUUCCAGCAGUGCAAACCAACUGAAGUGACCCAUGCUGUUACUUCACAUGUUACUGCAAAUUAGAUUAGAAUCUGCUGUUCCUGGAUUUGUUUAAUUAGCUGGCAGUAUCAUUAAAAUACUUUCUGGAGCCUUUGUACUGUGAUAUGAAACAUGCAGCAUUUUUAAGACUUAAACCUCACUAAAUGAAGUGAAGCAAUCUGAGAUCCACAUGUCAAGGGGAAGAGUUGAAGAGGUUUAUAUUUAGGUUAUUCCACAUUAUGAAACUCAGCCAGAAUUGUCAGGGUAAGUGGGUACAAGCAACCCUUUCACCCCCUAAUUGAUAAAAAAUACUUUCCUUACUUUACAUGAAUGCUUCUGUAGAUUGCAUCUUCCUCUUAACCAAUUUUUUUUGGCUUCUGACUGAAAAAUGUGCAAAGAGAUGUUCCAGGGUAAGUACUUUGAAUUACUAUCAAGCUGCCAGAUGCCUUACCUAAAAAUAGUGGUAGAGAAAAAACCUUAAAUGAUUGCUUUCCUUUUCUAAAAUACACAGUUAUGGCAGUUUUGACAUUAUUCCAUUCAGGUCAUCAAAUUCAUAUAAGCUAUUGUACUACAGUGUAAGGCAUACAUUUUAGAAGAAUGAAAAGUACAGGAAGCUUGAUGCGUGAACAUGAAUUUACUCAUCUUUUAUAUAAUGCCUUCUUGAGGUGCUGACGUUUUCAGGACGUUAAUUGUUCAUAAUGAAUACUCUUGCAUAAAACAUUUCAAAGGUAAUUUUCUGAGGCCAGAGAAUGACUAAAAAGUUAUUCACUAAAGAGCAGUCAAUCUGUAUCCAAAAGGAGACUUACGGGAUGUGAAAUAAACUGACUUCACAGGCAAGAAGCUUGCCUGCAUGGAAGAAUCUACCAUUCUACAGGUUUGAUGCCUUAAAAGAGAAGCCACAGAAGUGGUGUUGGCUGGUGUAGAGGCGAAAUCAUUAUGUUCUGAUUAUGUGCCAUUGGAGGAAAGGGAGCGAAAAAAGAAGCUUUGGGCAAAGUAUCCGGACCACCUGUAUCAGAAGUCUAUCUCUGCUACAGGUAAUAUUUGAUCCUCCUUGUGCCAUGUACUUCAGGAUGGACAAUACUAAUCAGUGAAGAUAAGGUAUGCUUAAAGAAUUACUUAAAAUCAAGGAAAAUCAAUCAUACUAGUUACAGGCAGUAGAUUUUAAACAACCUGUCAAAUAUUUCUUGGCUGUUACAGCCUUUCCUAAGUGCUUUUCCUGGUUCAUAAAAUUAAUGUGAAAUCAAUAAUGGUAUUUAAAAAUUCACCAAACGUUUCCCAGCCAAAGUCUUGCUUUCAGGGUGCCACUAAUGCAACAGGCAGAGUGGGGGGAAAAAAAUCACAAACUUGGCCUUAAUGGCAAACAGAGUGCAGAUGGAAAGUGCAGUGAAGAAAGAUGCUUUCAGAAGCAACCAGGAGGAAGAGCUGCUAGCUUCCCCACAAGACCAAACCUCUAAACAGAGCUGCCAUGGGCAUCAGCUUGCUAAAGGCCUUUGCUUGGAGAUGUAGUCUAGAUGCCAUGCUGAAUUCCAGCUCAAGGAUACAAACUGGCAUAAACUGCUAUGAAACAUUCACAUAAUGGUCAAAACACCAGCAGAAACACAGUGAAGUAAGUUUCUUAUAGUGUAUUACAACCAUAUGAUCUGCUGGACUUCAGACAAUGGAGAGGAAAUGCUUGCUACUUCAGGUUGCUUCAUUCCAUUAUCCAAGAAGACCUGGGAUCAUUGUGGAAAUGGGAAGAAAUAAGGCAUAUAAUUAGAUUUGCUUGUUAGUUUAGAUCUUUUAAUAGAAGGACAAAGAGGAGUAAUAUAGUACUUGGUGAUCUUGCAGCUGUAUAUGCAUUUAGGCUACAUCUCUGCUGAAGAAGACGUGUUGUAGUUACAAGUUGUAUGAGUUUAUACAACUGUAAUUACCUGUAGUUGCCACAUUUGAUCUGUGAAGGUAAAUAGGAUUUGUCAGUAUCCCUUUUCCUCCCCAAAGCAAUGCAGAACUGUUUUCUAGCUUCUUGCUCAGGGUUGUUCAGAAAUAGCAGAAGAGCAAGCCUGUAGAGUUUGGGUCUGUUGGCCUUUCCUGAAAGGGCGAUUUCCUCAGGUGCUGGACCCAAGAGUGAGGUUCACACAGUUUGCUCUUGGUAUUAUCUCUGGACACCAUGCCCAUGCUUUCUCAGUGACAUUCAAACAGAUUUUAAAAUAGGCAUGUUAUUUAUCAUCAUUUCUAGUUUUGAGGGUUCAUGUGUCUUACACUUCCCCAAGCUUUUUUUCUCUGAACUUCAGAGUUAGAAAUUUGUUU